rnacentral:rRNA from 1 species
AUGAACGCUGGCGGCGUGCCUAAUACAUGCAAGUCGAGCGAACGGACGAGAAGCUUGCUUCUCUGAUGUUAGCGGCGGACGGGUGAGUAACACGUGGAUAACCUACCUAUAGACUGGGAUAACUUCGGGAAACCGUAGCUAAUACCGGAUAAUAUUUUGAACCGCAUGGUUCAAAAGUGAAAGACGGUCUUGCUGUCACUUAUAGAUGGAUCCGCGCUGCAUUAGCUAGUUGGUAAGGUAACGGCUUACCAAGGCAACGAUGCAUAGCCGACCUGAGAGGGUGAUCGGCCACACUGGAACUGAGACACGGUCCAGACUCCUACGGGAGGCAGCAGUAGGGAAUCUUCCGCAAUGGGCGAAAGCCUGACGGAGCAACGCCGCGUGAGUGAUGAAGGUCUUCGGAUCGUAAAACUCUGUUAUUAGGGAAGAACAUAUGUGUAAGUAACUGUGCACAUCUUGACGGUACCUAAUCAGAAAGCCACGGCUAACUACGUG